GUGGCGAAGGUCACGGAAGAGGGAGGAGGGUUUUUACGUAAGUGGAGUUUCGUAGGUUGCGGUACCGGUACCGGCUCGACGGUACGAAAUAAAGGUCGAGCUCCGCGGUGUGGAUCGUUGUUUAAUCCCCGGUGUCUCGAAGUUAGCCGCUAACCGCCUCGACGUUGGUAGAUAAACCAGCUCGACGUAGGUAGCUGCGGCCCGCCGCCGCUGACGUUGCGCCUCGUAUUCUCGACGUAUGUCGCCGCUCCCGCCGACGUUAGUCGACGCGGGGAGCUGUUGCCUCAACGUUGGCCGAAAACCACCUCGAUGUUCCAACCUGCAACUCUACGCUAAUAAAAACGACCUUGGCCUCCACAAAAAAAAAAUGACCUUUGUCCACCACGUCCAGUUGCUGCCACCGCUCGGCUUCUACCGCAGCGGCACGAUACUACCCGACGCAUUAAACUACCUGGCUGAAAACAAGUCUCAACGUAGACCGUUCUGCGCCACAACCUUGCUGCUGCUCUACUCCUCCCGCGUGUUGCUGAAGAUG
rnacentral:rRNA from 1 species